ACAUAUCUAAUUUUGGCCCUUUGUCACUAAAACCUGGUCUGAUGCCCGGAGGGUCCCGCUCUCUGAUUGACAUGUUUCAUGAACAGAAAAAAAAGAAGCCCGCAGAGGAACUACCUGAGAACAGGACAGUUUUUGUUGCUGCUUUGGACGUUGAGAUUUCAUCAGCAUUAGGAACAUGUGCCUCCAUUAUUUCUAAUAAGAGCGAAGCUUCCAGCCAAAAUCCAAGUACUAUCACAGCUGCUUCUCCUGUGAA